CUUGGGCAGCCCUAAGGGGAGGCCCACGUGGGGAGGGAUCAGGGCCUCUCAUGAACAGUCAGGACUGAUCUGUUGUCCAAGUGAGUAAAUCCCAUUGGAAGUGGAUCUUCAGGCCCAUUCAAGUCCUUGGACAACAGCUGAUUCUUGACUGCAAUUUCUUGAGAGACUCAAACCAAAACCAUUUGGAUAAGUUAAUCGUGAAUUCUUAACUCACAGAAACUAUGAGAGGUUGGAAAGAAACUGAUGAAAAAGGCCAAACCUGAUGGACUGAGAACUACAGGCCAGGCACUCACCUCUGGCAAGCUUUCCUCUCAGUCAACCGUCAGCACCUCGGACAGCUCAGCUACAAUGCCUUGGGUCUCUGAGGAAACCUAUCUAAACACAAAGGCAUUUUUACAUUA